rnacentral:lncRNA from 1 species
AGGCCGGGGCCCCAAGUUCGUCCAGCGGAAAAACGCCACAAAAACGGGUGGGCUAUUGCCUUGGGGGGUGAUGCUGGCCAACUUCGUCCGGCGGACUCGGAAUGCCGCGAGACUUUAUGAGGGGUCUCCGUAUGCCAAAAAUAGGCCUGGGGCAAAGCCGCGCCCAAAAAAUAAGCCACGGGCAAAGCCGCGCCCAAAAAUAACCGCCCGACGGCCGGGGCGCCAAGUUCGUCCCGCUGAAAAAGGCCACAAAAACGGGUGGGCUAUAGCCUUGGGGGGUGAUGCUGGCCAACUUCGUCCGCGGGACUCGGAAUUCCGUGAGACUUUGUGAGGGACCUCCGUGUGCCAAAAAUAGGCCGCAGGCAAAGCCGCACCCAAAAAAAAUCGCCCGAAGGCCGGGGCGCCAUGUUCGUGCAGCGGAAAAAGGCCACAAAAACGGGUGGGCUAUAGCCUUGGGGGGUGGGGCUGGCCAACUUCGUCCGCCGGACUCGGAAUGCCGCGAGACUUUGCGAGGCACCUCCGUAUGCCAAAAAUAGGCAGCGGGCAAAACCGCGCCCAAAAAUAACCGCCCGAAGGCCGGGGCGCCAAGUUCGUCCAGCGGAAAAAGACCUCAAAAACAGGUGGGCUAUAGCCUUGGGGGGUGAUGCUGGCCAACUUCGUCCGCCCGGACUCGGAAUGCCGCGAGACUUUGCGAGGCGCCUCCGUGUGCCAAAAAUAGGCAGCGGGCAGCCAAAAAUAACAACCCGAAGGCUGGGGCGCCAAGUUCGUCCAGCGGAAAAAGGCCACAAAAACGGGUGGGCUAUAGCCUUGGGGGGUGGGGCUGGCCGACUUCAUCCGCCGGACUCGGAAUGCCGCGAGACUUUGCGAGGGGCCUCCGUAUGCCAAAAAUAGGUCGUCGACAAAGCCGCGCCCAAAAAUAACCACCCGAAGGCCGGGGCGCCAAGUUCGUCCAGCGGAAAAAGGCCACAAAAACGGGUGGGCUAUAGCCUUGGGGGGUGGGGCUGGCCAACUUCGUCCGCCGGAUUCGGAAUGCCGCGAGACUUUGCGAGGGGCCUCCGUGUGCCAAAAAUAGGCCGCGGGCAAAGCCGCGCCCAAAAAUAACCGGCCAAAGGCCGGGGCGCCAAGUUUGUCCAGCAGAAAAAGGCCACAAAAACGGGCGGGCUAUAGCCUUGGGGGGUGGGGCUGGCCAACUUCGUCCAUCGGACUCGGAAUGACGCGAGACUUUACGAGGGGCCGCCGUGUGCCAAAAAUAGACCGCGGGCAAAGCCAUGCCCAAAAAUAACCGCCCGAAGGCCGGGGAGCCAAGUUCGUCCAGCGGAAAAAGGCCACAAAAACGGGGGGGCUAUAGCCUUCGGGGGUGGGGCUGGCUAACUUUGUCCGCCGGACUGGGAAUGCCAAAAAUAGGCCACGGGGAAGCCGCGCCCAAAAAUAACCGCCCGAAGGCCGGGUCGCCAAGUUCGUCCAGCGGAAAAAGGCCACAAAAACGGGCGGGCUAUAGCCUUGGGGGAUGGGGCUGGCCCACUUCGUCCGCCGGACUCGGAAUGCCGCGAGACUUUGCGAGGGGCCUCCGUGUGCCAAAAAUAGGCCGCGGGCAAAGCCGCGCCCAAAAAUAACCGCCCGAAGGCCGGGGCGAGAAGUUCGUCCAGCGGAAAAAGGCCACAAAAACGGGGGGGCUAUAGCCUUGGGGGGUGGGGCUGGCCAACUUCGUCCGCCGGAUACGGAAUGCCAAACAUAGGCCAUGGGCGAAGCCGUACCCAAAAAUAACCGACCGAAGGCCGGGGCGCCAAGUUCAUCCAGCGGAAAAAGGCCACAAAAACGGGUGGGCUAUAGCCUUGGGGGGUGGGGCUGGCCAACUUCGUCCGCCGGAUUCGGAAUGCCGCGAGACUUUGCGAGGGGCCUCCGUCUGCCAAAAAUAGGCCGUGGCCGAAGCCGCGCCCAAAAAUAACCGCCCGAAGGCCGGGGCGCCAAGUUCGUCCUGCGGAAGAAGGCCACAAAAACGGGUGGGCUAUAGCCUUGGGGGGUGGGGCUGGCCAAUUUCGUCCGCCGGACUCGGAAUGCCGCGAGACUUUGCGAGGGGCCUCCGCGUGCCAAAAAUAGGCCGCGGGCAAAGCCGCGUCCAAAUAUAACCCCCCGAAGGCCGGGGCGCCAAGUUCGUCCAGUGGAAAAAGGCCACAAAAACGGGUGGGCUAUAGCCUUGGGGGGUGGGGCUGGCCGACUUCGUCCGCCGGACUCGGAAUGCCGCGAGACUUUGCGAGGGGCCUCCGUGUCCCAAAAAAAGGCCGCGGGCAAAGCCAUACCCAAAAAUAAUAGCCCGAAGGCCGGGGCGCCAAGUUCGUCCAGCGGAAAAAGGCCACAAAAACGGGCGGGCUAUAGCCUUGGGGGGUGGGGCUGGCCAACUUCGUCCGCCGGACUCGGAAUGCCGCGAGACAUUCCGAGGAGCCUCCGUGUGCCAAAAAUAGGCUGCGGGCAAAGCCGUGCCCAAAAAUAACCGCCCGAAGGCCGGGGCGCCAAGUUCGUCCAGCGGAAAAAGGCCACAAAAACGGGUGGGCUAUAGCCUCGGGGGGUGGGGCUGGCCAACUUCGUCCGCCGGACUCAUAAUUCCGCGAGACAUUGCAGGGGCCUCCGUGUGCCAAACAUAGGCCGCGGGCAAAGCCGCGCCAAAAAUAACCGCCCGAAGGCCGGGGCGCGAAGUUCGUCCAGCGGAAAAAGGCCACAAAAACGGGGGGGCUAUAGCCUUGGGGGGUGGGGCUGGCCAACUUCGUCCGCCGGACUCGGAAUGCCAAAAAUAGGCCAUGGGCGAAGCCGCGCCCAAAAAUAACCGCACGAAGGCCGGGGCGCCAAGUUCGUCCAGCGGAAAAAGGCCACAAAAACGGGCGGGCUAUAGCCUUGGGGGGUGGGGCUGGCCAAAUUCGUCCGCCGGACUCGGAAUGCCGCGAGACUUUGCGAGGGGCCUCCGUGUGCCAAAAAUAGGCUACGGGCAAAGCCGCGACCAAAAAUAACCGCCCGAAGGCCGGGGCGCCAAGUUCGUCCAACGGAAAAAGGCCACAAAAA